rnacentral:rRNA from 1 species
UAGUCCACGCCCUAAACGAUGUUCACUCGAUAUGUGUAUUUAUAUGCGUGUCCAAGCGAAAGCAUUAAGUGAACCACCUGGGGAGUACGUUCGCAAGAAUGAAACUCAAAGGAAUUGACGGGGGCCCGCACAAGCGGUGGAGCAUGUGGUUUAAUUCGAUGAUACGCGAGGAACCUUACCAGGGCUUAAAUGUAGUAUGACCGGUCUGGAAACAGGCCUUCCCUUCGGGGCAGAUUACAAGGUGCUGCAUGGUUGUCGUCAGCUCGUGCCGUGAGGUGUUAGGUUAAGUCCUGCAACGAGCGCAACCCCUAUUCUUAGUUGCCAGCGGUUCGGCCGGGGACUCUAAGAAGACUGCCAGCGCAAGCUGAGAGGAAGGUGGGGAUGACGUCAAAUCAUCACGGCCCUUACGUCCUGGGCUACACACGUGCUACAAUGGUAGAGACAGAGGGCAGCCACCUGGUGACAGGGAGCGAAUCCUUAAACUCUAUCUCAGUUCGGAUCGAAGUCUG